GAUGAACGCUGGCGGCGUGCCUAAUACAUGCAAGUCGAGCGAACGGACGAGAAGCUUGCUUCUCUGAUGUUAGCGGCGGACGGGUGAGUAACACGUGGAUAACCUACCUAUAAGACUGGGAUAACUUCGGGAAACCGGAGCUAAUACCGGAUAAUAUUUUGAACCGCAUGGUUCAAAAGUGAAAUACGGUCCUGCUGUCACUUAUAGAUGGUUCCGCGCUGCAUUAGCUAGUUGUUAAGGUAACGGCUUACCAAGGCAACGAUGCAUAGCCGACCUGAGAGGGUGAUCGGCCACACUGGAAGUGAGACACGGUCCAGACUCCUACGGGAGGCAGCAGUAGGGAAUAUGCCGCAAUGGGCGAAAGCAUGACGGAGCAACGCCGCGUGAGUGAUGAAGGUCUUCGGAUCGUAAAACUCUGUUAUUAGGGAAGAACAUAUGUGUAAGUAACUGUGCACAUCUUGACGGUACCUAAUCAGAAAGGCACGGCUAACUACGUG
rnacentral:rRNA from 1 species